rnacentral:rRNA from 1 species
UGGGGAAUAUUGGACAAUGGAGGAAACUCUGAUCCAGAGAUACCGUGUGAGUGACGAAGGCCUUAACUGGUUGUAAAGCUCUUUUAGUGGGGAAGAUAAUGACGGUACCCACAGAAAAAGUGUCGGCUAACUCUGUGCCAGCAGCCGCGGUAAGACAGAGGACACAAGCAUUGCUCGGAAUUAUUGGGCGUAAAGGGUACGUAGGCUGAUGUAUAAGUUUAUGGUUAAAUCUCGAAAGGUAAAUUCGAAACUGCUGUAAAUACUGUAUAUCUAGAAAUUGGGAGAGGUAAGUAGAAUUUCUGUAGAAGGGGUCAAAUCCAUCGAUCACAGAAGGAAUACCAAAGGCGAAGGCAACUUACUGGAACAUUUUUGACGCUGAGGUACGAAAGCGUGGGGAGCA